rnacentral:rRNA from 1 species
GAUGAACGCUAGCGGUAUGCUUAACACAUGCAAGUCGAACGAAAAAGCAAUUUUUAGUGGCGAACGGGUGAGUAACACGUGAGAAUUUGCCUUUAGGAAGAGGAUAACUUUAAGAAACGAAAGCUAAUACUCUAUAUGCCGCAAGGUGAAAGAAGAGAUUCGCCAAAAGAGAAGCUCGCGCCUGAUUAGCUAGUUGGUGGGGUAAUGGCCUACCAAGGCGACGAUCAGUAGCUGGUUUGAGAGGAUGACCAGCCACAUUGGAACUGAGAUACGGUCCAG